rnacentral:rRNA from 1 species
UACGGGGGGAGCAAGCGUUGUUCGGAUUUACUGGGCGUAAAGGGCGCGUAGGCGGCCACUGCAGGUCAGUUGUGAAAUCUCCGGGCUUAACCCGGAAAGGUCAAUCGAUACUGCGGGGCUAGAGUGCAGAAGGGGCAACUGGAAUUCUCGGUGUAGCGGUGAAAUGCGUAGAUAUCGAGAGGAACACCUGCGGCGAAGGCGGGUUGCUGGGCUGACACUGACGCUGAAGCGCGAAAGCUAGGGGAGCGAACGGG